UCAUCAAAGUUCAGUGAUUAAAGUCUUAUGAUUUACCGAAUACCUUGGUAUAUUUUCUGAUAAUCUUUAGCAAUCUUCUCUCUUUAACAGGAAAACGGUUUGGACUCAUCAUGGGUGAAGAGAGAAGAUUCCUCGUGGUUUUACAAUUCCUCCAGCUGGGAGAGGAAGUGAGAUCAUACUAGAUAAUCUUUCUUGACUGCAGUCGUUUUAUCGUGCUUGUUGUGAUAUCACAAACAAUAGACAAGGCGAAUUGUAAGAACAGAACAAGAUCUCACUACUCAUAAGACUGGACUAUUGGACUAAUUCCUGCGUAUGUGUUAUAAUAAUGCCGCAUAUGUAGCAACUGACGAGUUCUGUAAUCACUAUUGUGCGCCAAUCUCACAAAUAAUUCGUAAAGUUUUCAUUUACAUUCAAUCUCAAGAAAAGGUCCAAUAACGUAAUAAACCUUAAUAAAACUUGACUUGUGACAAGAACAAAUGCUUCUUUGCCAUGAAUAUCAAAAACAUCUCUAUCAGUUAGCCUGUCUACUUGGUUCAAUUUGUCGUCUUCUGUAUGAAGGAACGUAUCAUGUCUGCACUGUGUCAGUUAAUCUACAAAUACUUAAUUUCCUCAACAGAGAAUCGUCAAAUGAAUUUUUUUUUUUUUGGUGCAUUUUCUCUCUGACGGAUGAAUUAAAUUAUGAUGGCAUUAGAUAUAUGGCAAAUAAGUUAUACUGAAAUUCAACUGCUGCAAUAGGUCAGCUGUGCUAGUCACUGAAUUCCAGUUUAGUUUCAAGAAUUUUGUUUGCUGAUUAAAAUUUUAAAAUAAAAUUGCAAAAAAAAACCAGAAAAUUAAUUUUAAAGAGAAUAACAACUGAAAGUCAAAGAACGAAUCAUCUUGAUGUGGGAGCUCGUUGGAAAAAUCAAUGGGAUUAAUAAAAAAGUAAAAAGUCUACAAAAAUUCACUUCUUUGCACUCUGGAGCAAAAUAUUCUGAUGUUCAUGAUAUGCGAAUUCUUGGAAUAUAAAAGUAACGAACUACUGUACUUUUACUUCAUUCAAUACUCAUUGAAUACUUUUGUCAAAAAUGUGUUUCCAUGGCUCCAUACAAACAUUUACAUCUUUAGGAUCAGGUUUCCUAUUUAAAAAUAAAUUUGGCUUCAUGCAUUAGCCUAAUUUUGUCGAAGUUUUCAAGAAAUGAAAAAAUAUGUUCAUGAUCAAGUCCAGUUAAAGUAUCUCCCCCUAUCUCUAUAUCAAAUUUUGAGACCAAAGUUUAGAAAAAAAAGAAGAAAAUAACCCUAUGAUUCGAAUUAAACUGUAAAAAUUACUGACUAUCCAUUUUAAGUAAUAAAAAAAGUAAAUGUUGCCAAAAAAUGUACAAUAUUCGCAUGUACAGAAUGUAAUAUAAUUUUGUAAAUAGUAUAUUUGUAAUUUUUAGUCUAUGAUGUAAAUUAUCAACAUAUGUCAUUUGAUGAGAGGUAGAUUCAAUGUUUUUCAAGUUCAGAUCAUAAUUGUACUUUUUCAAUGUUAAUGAAACAACGUGUACAUAAGUACAAAUAGAGAAUAAUUUUGAAUAUGAUUGUUUAUAAUAUUUUGUUCAUUCGAUAAAAUAUAAAUGUAUGUGAUAAUCUUG